UCACCAUAGAUACCGUUUUGGAGCCUGCAUCAUUUCAGAAGAAAAUAUGGAUAUAAGGAUAUAAGCACACGUACUUGAUUAGGGUGUCUAAGAGAACAUGAAGAACUUCCUGCAGUCUGGACUUUCACUUCAGAGAGGCUGAAAAUUUGGAAGGUGCAUUUUUGUAUCCUAGGAUGAAAACUUGCAAGUAGAGCUGUGCCCAGUAUCUGUUGAUAUUCUGGAUUUUAUUGUGUUUAUAAUAAUCAGAUUGACAUCUAUGUUUUCAGUGACUACUUGGAUGAAAUAAAGAAUGAAGUUUUAGUGGCUCA